rnacentral:rRNA from 1 species
UACGGGGGGAGCAAGCGUUGUUCGGAUUUACUGGGCGUAAAGCGCGCGUAGGCGGCUUUGCAAGUCGGGUGUGAAAUCCCCAGGCUUAACCUGGGAACUGCAUUCGAGACUGCAUUGCUAGAGUAUGGGAGAGGGAAGUGGAAUUUCCGGCGUAGCGGUGAAAUGCGUAGAUAUCGGAAGGAACAUCAGUGGCGAAAGCGACUUCCUGGACCAAUACUGACGCUCAUGUGCGAAAGCGUGGGGAGCAAACAGG